rnacentral:rRNA from 1 species
AUUAGCUAGUUGGUAAGGUAACGGCCUACCAAGGCAAUGAUGCAUAGCCGAGUUGAGAGACUGAUCGGCCACAUUGGGACUGAGACACGGCCCAAACUCCUACGGGAGGCAGCAGUAGGGAAUCUUCCACAAUGGACGAAAGUCUGAUGGAGCAACGCCGCGUGAGUGAAGAAGGGUUUCGGCUCGUAAAGCUCUGUUGGUAGUGAAGAAAGAUAGAGGUAGUAACUGGCCUUUAUUUGACGGUAAUUACUUAGAAAGUCACGGCUAACUACGUGCCAGCAGCCGCGGUAAUACGUAGGUGGCAAGCGUUGUCCGGAUUUAUUGGGCGUAAAGCGAGUGCAGGCGGUUCAAUAAGUCUGAUGUGAAAGCCUUCGGCUCAACCGGAGAAUUGCAUCAGAAACUGUUGAACUUGAGUGCAGAAGAGGAGAGUGGAACUCCAUGUGUAGCGGUGAAAUGCGUAGA